AUGGUGGGUGUCAGGCUCAGCCGAGUGACUCUCGCCUUCACUUUAGUCCUGUGUACUUGGGUCAAGAGUUCAACCUGUUUUGGUCUGCAUUGGUUGGACAAGAACGGUCAGGACACAGGAGUGGGAGGAAGAAGAGGAAAGUUUGUCUUUGACAGUAAAGACCUUGGACCUCAGUUAAAGUCUUCCUCUGCCACAGGAAAGCUGCUGAAAAUCAUCCUGGGGAUGUGGGGGCAGACAUCAGAGAAUGAGGCUUCCCCAAAGAAAGAAGCAGCAUGGAAGCAGUUAAAACCUUCCCUGCACUGUGGUCAGAAUGAGAUGGUGUUUAGAGCUACUGGAUACAGAGCUGCUGAAAUACAGCUAGAUAUGGGUGCCGCUGCCCCCCUCCCUCUGAACCAUUUGCCUGAAACAUGUGGCUACACAAGGAAACAUGGUGUUGGCUUUGUCUUGGUUGUUCCCUACGAUGGCUGUAACGUGACUCAAGAGAAUGGAAAUUAUGUGUUGAAGAUGAGAUGGCUUAAUGCUUCAGUUGAGUUCAUCUGCUCAAUGACAAGUUCCUCUAAAUUUCUGGAUCUGAACGAGCUCCAGUCAUCUCAAGAGUCAGAGCCACUCCCAGUGAGGAUUUUGAGACACAAUCGUCACAGACGGGCUGCAACUGGUGGACUCUCUUCUUAUCCCCACAGUUUUUACUAUAACUAUGCGUGUUUACUUCGCUAUUACAUGUAUAUGAUGAGCAUGGCACACUUCUCCAACACCCAGACCACUACCACCACUGCUCCACCGGCACAGACUACUACAGCCAAACCACUUGGAGAUGACCGACAAAUUGUAGUUUACUAUCCUCAGUUUUUUCCUUAUUACUACCCAGUUGGACAAAAACCAGUGGAUUUUCUGCCAUCAUCUGACUGUGAUUCAUCUUCAAGCACUGGACAAAGGCCACAAUGUUCCCAAGGCCCACAAGAGAAAUGGCCCUUAAGCAGACCUACCCAUCUUGACAAUCCUUUGCUGCUCAAGCAAAUUCUUCAGCGGUACUAUGGACUAGAUCCAGAUCAAGCACUUCCUCAAACUACCUCUAGUGAAAGACCCAUUGGUGCCAGCUGUCUUGGCGAAGUGAGCACGUACAUCCCCUACGAGCACCUCUCUUUCCCACCCCACAUCUCAUAUGAGAAUGACAAGCCUGUAGGAGACAAACAGAAUAUCCCUGAACAAAGUUACAACCGCCAUGUUGGACUGCAGCCUCGUGUACACCCGUAUCAAUGGGCUGGGGACUGGUGGCACUGAUACCGCCAGCAAUUUGCAAGUACUUCCUGAAGAUAGUGUAGCUUCUAACUGGCUUUGGGGGGGGGGGGAAAUGAGGCAGUUAGAAUGUGGUGUACUUGUGAAACUGCUGAAUUGAGCAAUGUUUACAAUAAAACUCUUGGGACUGAUUCUGUGUGUGUUCAUAAAUUCUGUUGUGACUUGUAGUUCAAGUUUCCCUUGUCUGGCCAGAUGUAGACUCUUGGUGCACAGUCCUCAUGGCGCUCCUAACUAAAGGACUCUUGACGUAAGAAUAAUUCAGGAAGUUUGAGAGUGAGGAGACAGAAACAUGAUCUUGGUUAGUAGGUGUAGUUGACCUGUUGGGAGGUGUUGACAUCUUCUAAAAGUUGUAUUUUUUUUUUUAUCAAAACCAAAGUGUGUCUGGUGAAAUCAACCUGUUUAAUCCAUUUGACAUUGAGGGUGAGCGCUGAAUUGGCUUUUGGUUGCAAUGAUUACUGGCCUGCUUGGAGAAGUUAUCAGGAUAAGCAAAAGCCUGAGGGAUCACAGGUCGAGGGCAGCGGCAGCUUGAGGCGUCGCUCCCUCCUGUUAUGUAGUGAUGGGACGAGCGACACUGGUGCGUCAGCACUGUCCCGAGAGCUCUAGAGUGAAACCCCGUAUCGGCGCGUGUAUCGCUUUAAGAACCACGUGACCGAUACAGGAACUGGAUCGUUUGGAUGUGCUGCGCCAAAGUGUGUUUAUAAGGAAACAAACUGCAUCAACGUGUCGCGGGUUUGUUGGAUGGAGUUUUGCAGUUGCGUGAUUAAGGAUCGUUCUAAGAAAUUUCCCCCCAGUGUGGAAUAAUUUUGAUCUUGUGACGCCAAACAAGGUAAAUCUUUUUCUCCUCUGAGCAUUGUUUACUGUUAUACUAUGUUUUUACGGUGGCACGUUGCACUCACUUUAUCAGUUUAUCAAGUGCAUAUGAUAGUUAAAGAGCCUUACAGUUGCUUUAUUCAUUUUAUCUCGUAAUUACCAGACCUGAUCUCGAAAUCAUGACAUAGGGUGUCUAUUUUUUUAACAAGUGAAUGCAAUGCGCCACCUUAGUUUUUACUCUGUUCUGGUAAGAGGUUUGAAUUGUUUUCAGAUAAAUUAACUUUUUAUGUUAUUGUAGGUGAAGUGUCGGCUCUGCUCCACAGAGCUGUCUUACAUCAAUAAGAGCACUUCGUCAAUGCUGCGGCAUUAUAGAGCUCGGCAUGGCAAUGAAGAAUUGGCAGAUACUCGUGAGAGAACCCCAGGUAUGUUGAAAUUGUCUCUAAAAAUUGUGAUUAAAAAAAAAAAAAAAAAAACCAUGCAUGCAAACAGACAGGCCCCAGGCCUGGUAUGGAACCUCCAGCCCUUUUGCUGUGAGGCGACAGUGCUAACCAUUGUGUCGCCCUAUGGCUAUUUGAUAUUGUUUGUAAAAAUUACAGUCCUUUUAUUAAGCUUUUGACAAAAUAUUUCCUUUUUCACUUGCAGUUCCUAACAAGCAAGCAGUGGAUGAGGCAGUGGUCAACAUGAUCAUCAAAGACUGUCAGCCUCUCAGCUUUGUUGAAAAUGAGGGAUUCAGGGAGCCUCUAAAGCUUAUUAUACCCUCGAAUGCUCUACCAAGCAGGAAGGCAUGUUUAAGAAAUGUUAUAUUUUUGUACUAACUAUAUAACUAUAUUUUAUUGGUGUAACAGUAUUUGUAUGGUUAUUUUCAGACCAUCAAGGACUUGGUGAGCCAGAGAUGAGGAGGAAAAGAAGAAAACAAAAAAGGACCUCGAGAGCGCCGUUGCUGUUACUUUAACAGCUGAUAUGUGGACGUCUAUGAAUAUGGAGGCAUAUCUAGCUGUUACUGGCCACUAUGUGGACAAAGAAAGCUAUGAACUCCAUUCAUCAGUCUUGGGAGUGCAGCAUUUUCCUCAGAAACGCACUGCAGAAAACAUUGCUACGGUUAAAAGGAGCCUCAUGGAGGAGUAGGGUUAGGGAAAGGUCAGGAGUCUUGUCACUGAUGCAGCAGCAAACACGACUUCAUGUGCUCGAAUGCUGCAAAUACGGCAUACCAUUUGUAUCGCCCAUUCCAUGGAUUUAAUUGUGAGAAAAUCAUGUGAUUAAAUCAUGUGAUCAAAUCCAACAAUACGCAAAUACGCAAAAUACGCAACAAAACACAACACAUUGUGACAUACUUUGGAUCGAGCGUGACUGCUAAAGAGAAGCUCACUCAAAUACAGCAACAGCUGGGAACACCGGUCCAUAAAUGAAUAAACGAGGUGCCAACACGAUGGAACAGUACCUACCAAAUGUUUGAAAGAAUGACUGAGCAGAAGGAGGCAGUCUGGGUGUCACUGGCCUCAUUAAAAACUGACAUCACUCCAGAAGAAUGUCAAAUCAUUGAAGAGAUGCUCAGGGUUCUUGCUCCUUCUGACCAAGCCACAAGAGAACUGUCUGAGGAAAAAAGGGUCUCUGGGUCGAAGGUCAUUCCCUUGAUGAGGAUGCUCCACAUUGAGCUUCAACGUCAGGCCACAACGGUGACAAAAACAGCUGCUCAACAACUGGCUGAAAACCUGAGAAAGCGGCUAACUGACGCUAUUUGCAGCCUGGAAUCACUCAGUGUGAUGACACUGGCAACACUGUUGGAUCCCAGAGUCAAACCAAUUGGAUUUGCUAGUCACCAAAAGGCAAGUGAAGCGGUGAAGAGACUGAAGUCGGAGUGUGUGCAAGAAAUGAGGAGCCAAGAGCCUGACCCAACAGAAGAAGAGCCUAGCUCUUCACGUGGGUCAGAACCCAGUUCUG
rnacentral:lncRNA from 1 species